rnacentral:rRNA from 1 species
GACGAACGCUGGCGGCGUGCUUAACACAUGCAAGUCGAACGGAAAGGCCCUGCUUUUGUGGGGUGCUCGAGUGGCGAACGGGUGAGUAACACGUGAGUAACCUGCCCUUGACUUUGGGAUAACUUCAGGAAACUGGGGCUAAUACCGGAUAGGAGCUCCUGCUGCAUGGUGGGGGUUGGAUAGUUUCGGCGGUUGGGGAUGGACUCGCGGCUUAUCAGCUUGUUGGUGGGGUAGUGGCUUACCAAGGCUUUGACGGGUAGCCGGCCUGAGAGGGUGACCGGCCACAUUGGGACUGAGAUACGGCCCAGACUACUACGGGAGGCAGCAGUGGGGAAUAUUGCACAAUGGGCGGAAGCCUGAUGCAGCAACGCCGCGUGCGGGAUGACGGCCUUCGGGUUGUAAACCGCUUUCGCCUGUGACGAAGCGUGAGUGACGGUAAUGGGUAAAGAAGCACCGGCUAACUACGUG